rnacentral:rRNA from 1 species
CCUACGGGCGGCAGCAGUGAGGAAUAUUGGUCAAUGGACGAGAGUCUGAACCAGCCAAGUAGCGUGAAGGAUGACUGCCCUAUGGGUUGUAAACUUCUUUUAUAUGGGAAUAAACUGUUCCACGUGUGGGAUUUUGUAUGUACCAUAUGAAUAAGGAUCGGCUAACUCCGUGCCAGCAGCCGCGGUAAUACGGAGGAUCCGAGCGUUAUCCGGAUUUAUUGGGUUUAAAGGGAGCGUAGGUGGAUUGUUAAGUCAGUUGUGAAAGUUUGCGGCUCAACCGUAAAAUUGCAGUUGAAACUGGCAGUCUUGAGUACAGUAGAGGUGGGCGGAAUUCGUGGUGUAGCGGUGAAAUGCUUAGAUAUCACGAAGAACUCCGAGUGCGAAGGCAGUUCACUGGACUGCAACUGACACUGAGGCUCGAAAGUGUGGGUAUCAAACAGGAUUAGAUACCCUUGUAGUC